rnacentral:rRNA from 1 species
GUGCAGCAGUCGCGAAAACUUCACACUGUGCGAAAGCACGAUGAGGGAAUCCCAAGUGCUUGCACGUAAGUGUAAGCUGUUUCUCUGUUUAAAACGCAGAGAGAGUAAGGGCUGGGUAAGACGGGUGCCAGCCGCCGCGGUAAUACCUGCAGCUCAAGUGGUGACCGUUAUUAUUGGGCCUAAAACGUCCGUAGCCGGUUUAAUAAAUGCCUGGGUAAAUCGUGUAGCUUAACUAUACGAAUUCCGGGUAGACUGUUAAACUCGAGACCGGGAGAAGUUAGAGGUACUCCUGGGGUAGAGGUGAAAUUCUGUAAUCCUAGGGGGACCACCAGUGGCGAAGGCGUCUAACUAGAACGGGUCUGACGGUGAGGGACGAAGCCCUGGGGCGCAAACGGGAUUAGAUACCCCGGUAGU